CGCAAAGCUCAUUACAACAGCUAUAAUGUAUAUGAAUUUACUGAUAAAUGGAUAUCUGUGGUAAAUCUAGAGCUAAUACAUGCAUAAAAACCUUUUUGUUUUAACAAAUUGGUUAAAUUAUCGUUUCAAAACUAACGGGUUCGCCCUGUUUUGUUAACUCAUGAUAAUUAAUGACCGUUCUUUAAUGAAUGGAUAUUCAUAUUUGGUAUCUGCCCUAUCAACUAUAUGACAGUCUAUUGUACGGUCAUGGUUGUGCCGGGUAACGGAGAAUUAGGGUUCGUCUCCGGAGAGAAUGCCUUAGAAACGGCUUUCACUUCCAAGGAAGGCAGCAGGCGCGAAAAUUACCCAUUCUCAGAACGAGGAGGUAGUGACGUGAAAUGACAAGCUUUAAUUCUUACGAAUUGAAGCAUUGGAAUGGUUGAAUUUUAAAAUCAUUCAAGAUUAUCAAUGAGAGGGCAAGUCUGGUGCCAGCAGCCGCGGUAAUUCCAGCUCUCAUACUACAUUGAACUGCUGUUGCGGUUAAAAAGUUCGUAGUUGCAAAUGUACAUAUAAAUGUGGUUUAUCAUUUUAUUAUGGUAUAACUGCAUUUUGUGUUAUUUAUAUUUUCUUUACGGAAAAUAUAAUGAUACCCUGAGUAAAGCAAAGUGCUCAGAACAAGCUAUUGCUUGUAUGUUUUUGCUGGGAAUAUCAAACGAAUACAUUAGUUGACGUUUGUUGGUUUAACAGCUAUGUAAUGAUUAAUAGGGAUAAACGGGGGCAAACGUAUCGCAGGGGAGAGGUGAAAUUCGUUGAUCCUUGCGAGACGGCCUAUAGCGAAAGCAUUUGCCAAGAAUGUUUCUU
rnacentral:rRNA from 1 species